rnacentral:tRNA from 1 species
UGGCUCAGACAGUAAAGAAUCUGCCUGCAAUGCAGAUGACCCAGGUUCGAUCCCUGG